UUUUGACAACAUCUAAAAAAAAAAUACAAAAAACCCUAACCUAAACCCUCUCAUACACAGCCGCCCCCUUUCCUAAAAAAAAAACAAAGAGCCGCCCCCCCCCCCCGGUUAGUUUUUGAUUCCAGCCGCCGGCCAAGACUUGGCUCCCCAUAUCACAGCCACCCGUUCCCCCUCAUCAAGAAAAUCUCCUACCCUUUCUGCCUCUCUCAGCCCCAUUUCCUCCGUCUCCCUCCCUGCCAUAUUUCUUUCUUUCUCAGCCUUCCUCAGCAGCGUCUUCUUCUCCUCUCAGCCAUCGCCUCCUAGUUUCAGCAGCCGUUCCCCCAGCCAAUCGCCGAUCUGCUCUCCUCCAUUCGGCCCCCAGCAGUGGCGGCAGCAGCGCCGUCCUUCUCCUCUCUCUCGGCCACGAUCCUCCAUCUUCACCAACCACCGCUCAACAGCUGCUCUCUUCUCCACAACGAAGUCAGUCUAACGGACGACGGCAGCAAGAGCCCCCGCAGACGACAACAGCAGCGUCGGUCCAUCCCAUCGGCGUCGUCCACAACAGCAACCCCCAGUAGCUCCAUCCACGACAGACCUUCCUUCCCCUUCGCAACAGAACCAUCGCCGGAGAAGAAGAAAGGAACCACGGACAGAAACAGAAAAUAAAACAGAUCUGGAAAACUAAGAAAAAUUAAAAUCGACUGCUGUGUUGUUCUUUGAUUGAUCUGCAGGUUGGCGCCGGCGAGGAAAGAAGGAGGGAGGAGGUCGUUGCAGACCCCCUGUUUUCGCCUUGUUUUCACGGUGGCGCGUGGAUCCACGCGCCGCCAGUGGCGGGGUUGCGUGAGAUCCACGCGCCACCACUGCCACUGCUGUCCCAGCGGCUUCGCAACACUGUUCCGGCGAGUUAGAGGUUUCCAGCACUGUUCCGGAAUGUUUUGAUUCAUUUUGUAAUUUCCAAAUUGUUUUAAUGUAAUAUUUUAUUUAGUUUUGAGUUUUUUGUAAUUUGUAUUUUGUAAAUAUGGAUGGAAAGAAAAGAAAAGAAAAGAAAGAAAUAAUAAUAAAAAGGGAUGUGUGUGUUGGUGUAUUUUUAUUUUUAUUUUGAUUUCAAAUUUGUAUUUUGUAUUUGUAUUUGUAUUGUGGAUGUAAAAGAAAAGAAAAGAGAAAAGAAAAAAGAAAAGAAAUGAAAAUAGUGAAUGUGGUGUUUGUAUUUGUUUUAUUUUUUAUUUUUUAUAUAUUUUUAAUGAUAAAAUUGCAUAUUAAAGAAGAAUUUAAUAUUUUGAUCGGAUCACGGUUAAGAAUUAUUAACUUAUACGUAAGUGAUAUUUCUAAUUUCCGAUGAAAAGACAAUUAUUAAAACUUCUUUAACACGUCAAAGCGAAGCAGCUUACCUCAGGUAGGGUGCGUUAGGGGUGCUAAUACCUUCCCUAACCACAACCAGUCCCUUACCCGCGAAUCUCUGACAAGACCAGUACAUCCGGUUUCCUAGUAGCCCGCAAUCAAUUACUAGGUGGCGACUCCAACGAACCAAUUCAAAGCAAACGUAACAAACGAGACUUAAAUCGCCAGCCGAUGCCGCGCGCGGAUUUGAUAUUUUUUUGGGGUGCGACAGAAUGGCGACUCCACUGGGGAAGGUAUUUUUUCGAUUAUUGGACUAAGCUUUGUGUAUUUGAUGUGUUUAAGUUUUUGCAUUUUUAUCUUUUUGUUAAUAUUUAUUUCCAUGCAUUUUAUAGAAUUGUCUCAUGCAUCACCUGUAUUUAUUUUUAAAAGCACACACAAGCUUCUAGGUUAGGUGGGGAACUAGCGAUCUGCCCUAAGACUAUUGGUCAGGGUUCAGAUGCGUGAAACACCCAACUCAUAUCUGAGUGCCUGCUUGGUAAUGGUGGGUAUACGUGCCUUAACCAUUCCUUGCAACGCCCCCAUACUGUCUUUACGAAGAACGUCACUGGGCAGAUAUGAGACCCUUUUGAGACCAGAUAGAAAACUUACCCAUGUUCACAUAAUGAAUAGAACCUGUCCUUAGGUUGUAUGUGCUAUCGUUUUUUGCAUAAGGGCAAACCCUUCUUGAAGCAUCUUGAACUCAAGACUUGUGGGUGACACAUUGGCCGUUGCUCCGAAAAUUUUCAUUGUAGAGUUUGGGCAAAAAUCACGAUUCUUGUCCAUCAUACAAGAGUUACGACCAUAUUGUCACCUCUCGAAGGGUGAGUUCAUCAUAUAGAUUACAUGUUCAUACAUUUAUCAUGCAUGAACCGGGUCGAAAGUAGGUCCCACAAAGUGUGCUGCACGAGAUUGAAGAAAAAUAUGGAAGUGAACAAAGGAGUCAGAUAGAGGUUCAUUAUCAGAUUAAGGUUGAGAGCAUCAAAGUGAAGUAGCUACUCAGAUCUGCUCGAACAAGUGUUGAGCAUCAAAUGAAAAGAGAAUGUCUGCACAGUUUUCUGUGGGAACACUGCUUGUUCACGUCCAAUUGAAGCUGUACCUUUCCUUUUCAGUCAUGAACAACAGCAACAACGCCUUCAGUCAUCAACUAAUGACAACUCUGAUUCCUGUCCAGUUGCGCUGUUAAGUAUUCAUCGCCUCCACAUCAUCUAAUGGAACCAAACGACUACUAACCUCCUGUUCAUGGUGCAUUAGUCUGCUUUGAAGUUACCCCAAUUAUGAGCUCAAUUCCAGUUCAGCAGCACAAGAUGUUGGUCUGAAAAAAAAAAACCAUGAUCAGACACUGAAUUUCAACGCGGUAGAGCUCUCUCUGUAGAGAUUUAUUUGUGGAUCUGUCAAUGGCAAAUGCAAAAGGGAAUGUAUUAAUUUCAUAUGCUUUGAAACUUUUUCCCACCAGUGGCACCAGCAAAACAUUGUAGUAGGCAGAAGAGUCAGACCUGGUCUGAUAAUAUUAGCAGUUGUCAAACUUCAAUGUGGCAGAGCUCUCUCUACAAAAAUCCAUUUAUGGCUCUGCAAAUUGGGAAUGCAAGAGGGGAUUUACUAAUUGCAUAUGCUACAAAUAUUUCUCUCAUCAGUUUCAGCACGAAGAAACUAUAGCAGGUUGAAGAGCCAGACUUGGCUUGAAAAAUAUGAGCAGACAUCAAACUUCAACGUAGCAGAGCUCUCCCGACAGGAAUCUGUUUGUGGAUCCGCAAGUGGGAAAUCCAAGAAGGAAUACAGUAGUUUCAGAUCAUUUAUGAUUUUUCUCCAACAGUGUCAGUAUUAAAAUGCAAAAGUAGAGAGAAGAUACAUGCCUAGACUGAAAAACAUGAAGAAUACUGAAACUUCAACAGAGCAGGACUUCCUCUAUAGGUGUUUGUUUGCUGCACUGUCAGUGAGAAAUGGAAGAGGGGACAAAGGAGUUUUAGAUUCAUCAGGUGCUCUUCCAAUAAAGACAAUGUGUGAUUCCACACGUCGGUAGUGGCGAUACUACAAGUUUCUGGGCGCUGCCAAGAUUACCAAGCUGUUAGAAAGUUUUCUAACAAUCCUCAACCAACCAUAGCAACAUUGGAAGAUUGAAAUAAUGUUGAGGAUUUGCCGAAGAAUUGAACAAGCUAUGAAGAGAAGAAAGAUUGAAGGAUCUGCCAUGGAUUCUAGAACAAUGAUGAGAGGUGAAUCAGGAGAUGACUUUGACGUGUGAACCCUUAAUUAUGUGGUAUAGCCAGGUCUCACGGCAUCAUCAAUUGCUCAAAUAUCUUUGCCAAGAUGGGACAUUCCUCUGCCAUUUAAGUUUGUCGACCAGCAUCUGCAGAUUCCAGAAUUUUGCUUGACUCCGACAAAUCCCAUGCAACCACCAAUUUCUAGGGUAUAAUCCAGAUAAGAGAUGUGAUGUCAUGGUGGGGUCCUCAACCAUUUCAAGUGAACAGUUUCAAGAAUUGCAAGAAUGGAGUCUGAAAGUUGGUGAGCAAGAGACAAGUGGAGUCGUUGAAGAAGGGUGUCACUGGCUAUAUUGUUCCCCGAACAUCUUCAGAAUGACAUGUGAUCGAAAAUGCUUGGCAAACACAGAUAUUGCCAGAAAAGCUGAUUCGAGAAUGGUGAUGAACAGUCAAUCAUAUUGUUAUGGAAUUCUGCAUUUUGUUUUGGGAUCACAUCUCAUCCUUCAACGAAACAUGCCUUGCUUUUGUCUCUUUGUUGUUUUGAAAUCAACAGAUGUUUAGCAUUUUAUUCUGACAAAAUAUUUUGAUCAAACUCCAACAUGCGAUAAAGGUUAAUCAAUCCGGAAGAUUAGAAGUGUUUUGAUUACAGAAAUGACUCUAUGCUUGAAAAUGACAUGAGGUGACCAAACAAUUUUGAACUCAUACCUUGAAACUGAACCACACAUCAUAUAGCUAAGUUUUAACAGUAUGCAUAAUGACAUGUAGUGGAUUCGGUAGUUGGACUCGUGAAUCAUGAUUCUUACAAGUCCCAAUCAUUACACUGGAUGAGGUCAAAAUUUAUCGGUUCUAACCGACCUUGCUUGAAAUGAGAAAAGGCCAUCUUUGAUAUCCCUUCACUUUCUAAAGAUUAUAUCCCUUGCAGUCCCAUUUUGAGCCUGGUAAAAUAUUUUCUUUCAAAAAAGAAACCCUGACUAGGAUCACACCCCACACUGGGGGCAAAUGAGAGAUAUUUUGGAGACAUUGAUAUAAUUAAUGGAUAAAGGGGAAGGCUUAGAACAAAGGUCCAAUGAUUGAGAGAGAGCUAAAAGAAAACACAUAGACUGGGGGCAUAUAAAAAUUUUGAGGAAGGCUAUGAAAAAAAAAAAAAAGAAAUGAAAAAGGAAGUUGAAAUUGCCUUCACUUAAAUACAAGUCAAAGAUAAAGGAAGGAGAACGCCUAUCAAGUCUAUGAAGAGCAAAAGAAAUUUCAAUCAAGGAAAGACAAAAAAGUCAAUACCAGAAAAAGACUAAGCUAUAAACGUACUUUUGGUUCCAUUAUAAAGCCUAUGAUUGAGGUUGAUUAUUCAUCAAGGAAAGGGAUUUGCAUUAUGACUUAUGUUAAGAGAAUUCUGAAUUUGAGAUUAACAAGGUUAUAUGUCGUUUCCUCUACAAAGACACAAGAGAAAGAGAAUCGAUGUUGAUCCUAGGUCUUUGAAACCCUCAAACACCUUUUGAGCCUUUGAAAUUCCUUUCUUUCAUAGCCAUGAACCAUAGCCUGCAUUACAUGCUUUUAAAAGCCCUUUUUAAUCAAGCAAGCAAUUUGAACGAUAAAUGGCGCUUCAAAACUUGAAGAGUUUUUCCAUAAGGGUCGUGACUUCAUGAAUUAAGCUACUGGUUAUUAUGCAUGCUGAUAAAAUAAAUGCUAAGAAAAGAAACAACCUUUCUUGAUAAAGCCUGAGCAUCUUGUUUUUUAAAUUCAUAAAAAUGCACCUCAUCAUAACUAUCAAAUGAUAUACCCAAUAUCAAGGAUUCAAAUGAUACAAAGAACCAUGGAAAAAGCCAUUUUUAAUCUACAACGGUUGUCAUUUCUGUUUUCAAGAUACAAGACAAUCAAAGGACUGCAUUGAAUAGUGUGUUGGGUCUUUGACCAAAGAAGUUUGAAUUUCAAAAAAAAUAUUUUCAAAAAGACAUCUCUGAUUUCAUUUCAACAUUUAGAUUUGAAUAAGACAUGAUCGUUGAAAUGUGAUCAACAUUUCUCGACACUCUUUGAAACGUUGACCACUGGGGGCAAUACAGUGGACCCUUGGAAGAAAAGCAAAUAACAUUCUAAUCAGCUGGGGGCAAAGAAAGAAUCAGAUGAUGAGUCAUCAAAAUCCCGGAAAGUUAUGUUUAGCAUCUGACAAUGACAAAGAAAAACCUUCUUGAGUAUAAACCGAUGAACGAACCUUCAGAUCAUAUUGGGGGCAAUGUUGUUCAAAGACAAUCCAUGAUCUAGUGCACUUCAGCAGCAAUUGAUGAGCAACGCUGCACUUGAAGGAUAUUUUCAUAUCUUCAGCUUGGGUUACCCUGUAAAACAUGGCUAUGACUCCUGACAGAUGUUAUCUGGUAUUUUCACGAUCUGAUUUGACAAGCUAAGAGGAAUCCAUAGAGAAAUACAUCGCGCUUACAAUGAUGAGUUGUUUACUGCAAAGCAUGAGAUACAUGUCUGGAUGACUUGGCAGUUCCAUGAAUGCUGGUGACCAUACAUACUUAAAUGGUGUUUCAACCGAAGGCAAGUUCAUGACUGAUUAACAAACGUGAUGGGUGUUGGCAUGAUGCACACAAUCAAUCAGAGGAUAAUUUCUCAGAAGAAGCCAGGAGAGAAAAUCUCUCAUGAUGAAUCAAGCAGUACUACACUUGGGGGCAGGGUCAAGCUUCAUGAACGAUGCAAGCAGUAAUUGUUGAAGACAGCCCGGGAUGGGCACUGCAUUUACAGUUGAGUGGAUGGCUAACAUGAAUGAGCCAAUACAUCGGAAGAACAAAGAAAGCUUUGGGAUACAAACAAAGGUACCCUAUGACGAUGGAGCAUCAAAGAGGGGGGACCUAUUUUUCAAAUCAGGUAAGGAUGCAUGCAUAUCAUCUAACCUCAAAAAAAAAAAAAAAAAAAAAAAAAAAAACAUUUGCACAUUUUUGAAUUGUUACAGGAAAUCCUUAAUGAGGUCCAACAAGAUGGUGGAAAAAGAAAGAAGCAUGGUGGUGGUGAUAAUAAAGAAUCGAUUUUGAUCAUGGAAUAAAAGGACGAUGGGAUGAACCCUACCAUUAGGAAAAUCCCAAAGAAAUGAAUAGAUCAACCUCGCAACCGGGAAACCUCGAGUUUUCGACCCUUGCAGUCAGGAAACACUGAGUUUUCAAACCCUAUGAUCGGGAAUUAUCAGGAAGCACCAAGUUUUCCAGCCCUACUUCUGUCAUCCCCUCAGGACUUCGCCAGGUAAGUCCUAUUUUUCACACUUGUCAUAUCACAUUUUUUCCAUCUGGGUAGGUCGCCCAUCAUAAUAAGACCGUUCUUCAUAUUUUUUCCAUCCGGGUAGGUCACCCAUGACAAUGAGACCGCAGUUUUCCACAUUUUUUCCAUCCGGGUAGGUCACCCAUGACAAUGAGACUGCACUUCAUCAUUUUUUUUUUCAUCUGGGUAGGUCACCCAUUACAAUGAGACCACACUUCAUAUUUUUCCACGUGGGUAGGUCACCCAUUACAAUGAGACCACACUUCACAUUUUUUCCAUUUGGGUAGGUCACCCAUUACAAUGAGACCAUCAUAUUUCUGGGGUUCGUCACCCAUACAAUGAGACCAUCAUUUUUUUUUUGGGUUCGUCACCCAUACAAUGAGACCAUUUCUCACACAUUCUUUUGUUUUGGUUAAAUGAGGUCGCCAGAUGGGAUCUCGGGUAGCUUUGGUUAAAGGGAAUCGCCAGAUGGGAUUUCAGGUUAACCGAGUUACGUAUAUUUCGUUCCAAUUGAAUGAGGUCGCCAGAUGGGAUCUCAUGUAGCUUUGGUUAAAGGGAAUCGCCAGAUGGGAUUUCAGGUUAACCGAGUUACACAAUAUUUUCGUUCCAGUUGAAUGAGGUCGCCAGAUGGGAUCUCAGGUAAACCCAAUGUGUGGGCAGGUCGCCCGUGAAAAUAGACUAUUGGGACAGUGUGGGUCGGUCGCCCGUGAAAAUAGACCAGAGUGAGUAUGUGUGGGCAGGUCGCCCGUGAAAAUAGAUCAGUGUGAGUGUGUGGGCAGGUCGCCCUAGAUAAUGAAAUCAUUUCCUUUUGUUUUCUUUACAAAGCUUACUAUGUAAAAUUUUGAGGAGUUUUGCUUCGUAAGCAUUGUAAAGAGGGGGCAUCUGUUUGCUACCCAAUUUUUACCCAUGUUUUGAUAUAUUUUCAAAAAUCCAAAAAAUGAGAAAAACAAAGAAAAUCCAAAAAAUAUGUUUUUUAAUAUAUUUUCGUCAUUUUAGCAUUUUCAACGUCGUCUAAAAAAGGAAUUAAAUUGUUUAAAAUAUUUUCAAACGCGUUCGACUUUUCACGCGUCAUUUUUUAAAUCAUUUAUUUUCCGCAUUUGAGUCAACGUUGAUUUUGCUCGUUUUCAAAAAAAUACAAAAAAAAAAAAAUAAUAAAAAAUCAAAAUUUACAAAAAGAAAGAAAUUGAGGGACCAAGUUGAAAAACCUAGCAACAUUUUUGCCUAUAAAUACUGGUCUUUAACUCAAAUAAAAGGGGGUAAUUUUGACAACAUCUAAAAAAAAAAUACAAAAAAACCCUAACCUAAACCCUCUCAUACACAGCCGCCCCCUUUCCUAAAAAAAAAAAACAAAGAGCCCCCCCCCCCGUUGGUUUGAUUCCAGCCGCCGGCCAAGACUUGGCUCCCCAUAUCACAGCCACCCGUUCCCCCUCAUCAAAAAAUCUCCUACCCUUUCUGCCUCUCUCAACCCCAUUUCCCUCCGUCUCCCUCCUGCCAUAUUUCUUUCUUUCUCAGCCUUCCUCAGCAGCGUCUUCUUCUCCUCUCAGCCAUCGCCUCCUAGUUUCAGCAGCCGUUCCCCCA
rnacentral:lncRNA from 1 species